ACCAUAUGCAAGUCAAAACAUACAUAUGUUGGAGCCUAAAUUAUACAAUAUUAAUGUGUUGCAUUGAUGUAUUGCUAAAAAUAGUUAUGUUAAAGAAUAAGCACAUAAGUUACAUGAUAAAGAUCACACUUACCAUCCUGGAUGAUUUUGAUUCAAUUCUGAUUCCUACAUCCAGUUUUUCUAGAGGGAUCUGGGUUCAGGCCUGGUCAUUAUCAAAAAGUAAUCCUAUGUAAGGAUGGGUCUAUAUAAGUCAAAGAUUGUCUAUAUUUAUUUUUUUUAUAUUAAAUGCCUGUAAUUCUGAAUUUUUAAGUAUUUUGCAG
rnacentral:lncRNA from 1 species